UUCUGUAGAUUUUAACAAAUGUUUUAUGCUAUAAAAAUUUAAAUAAAUAAAACAAAGCUGUAAAACACAGCUAAAAACUAUAAAACUAUAAAAACUGUAAAAACAAAUGUUGACAGAAAAGCUUCCUGUAGAGUUUGUUGUGUGGGAGUCAGAGCCGUGUCUCUGCACUCAGGUUUUUGUACGACCACUCAACCAGUUUGUUUCACUGUGGUUCACGUUCGGUGCAGGAACCAGACUGGAUGUUGGAGGUGAUGCUCGCCCCACCCUGACGGUGCUGCCUCCCUCCAGGCAGGAGCUGCAGCGGGGGACGGCCACGCUCACGUGUCUGGCCGACCGGGGCUUCCCCUCAGACUGGACUCUGUCCUGGCAGCUGGACGGCGGCGGCAUCAGCGGCGGCGCCGGCGCCGGGUGGGAGGAGCGACGCGGCGCCGGCGUGGUGGGGCAGGACGGCCGCUACAGCUGGAGCAGCAGCCUCACCAUCCCUGCAGAGCAGUGGAGGGCGGUGGGCGCGGCGAGCUGCGAGGCCUCCCACAGCUCCCAGUCUACAGUCACAGAGACACUGAGACGGGGCCAGUGUGUCUAGUCCUGACCCAUUCUGUAUCUGCGUCCUUCUGUCACACGCUCAGCUCAUUUUGAAAAAAUUCUGCUUUUUGCAUCAAUCUAAAAUCGUCUUUGUCCUUUCAGGCAAUAAAGAUUUGUGUCUAAAA